UACGAAGGGGGCUAGCGUUGUUCGGAAUCACUGGGCGUAAAGCGCACGUAGGCGGAUCUUUAAGUCAGGGGUGAAAUCCCAAGGCUCAACCUUGGAACUGCAAUGGAAACUGGCGGGCUUGAGUGUGGCAGAGGGGGGUGGAAUUCCGCGUGUAGCAGUGAAAUGCGUAGAGAUGCGGAGGAACACCGAUGGCGAAGGCAGCUCGCUGGGACGGUACUGACGCUGAGGCGCGAAAGCGUGGGGAGCAAACAGG
rnacentral:rRNA from 1 species